GUCUGUAUGAAGUUAAAUAGAGUCUAUUCUGCCCAUUGAGAUUAAUCUUAAAAGGCCGCGGUAUUCUAACUGUGCAAAGGUAGCAUAAUCAGUAGUUUCUUAAUUGGAGGCUUGUAUGAAUGAUUGGAUAAGAAUUAAACUGUCUUUUUUUAAAAAAUGGAAUUUUAUUUUUAAGUGAAAAAGCUUAAAUGAAUCAGAGGGACGAUAAGACCCUAUAAAUCUUUAUGAUUAUGUUUUUGUUUAUUUAUAUAUUUUAGUGUUAAGAGGAUUUCAAGAACUAAAUCAUUGUGCUGGGGCGGCAGAAAUAUAAAAAAACUAUUUAAAUGAAGCAACAAUGUUAAUUGAAGAGUAAAAGAUCUUUAUUAAAGAUUUAAAGAAUAAGUUACUUUAGGGAUAACAGCAUAAUUUCUUUUGAGAGUUCAAAUCGAAAGAGAAGUUUGUGACCUCGAUGUUGAAUUAAAAUUUCCUUAUGGUGCAGAAGUUAUACGGGAGAGUCUGUUCGACUUUUAAAAUUUUACAUGAUUUGAGUUCAAACCGGCGCGAG
rnacentral:rRNA from 1 species